rnacentral:lncRNA from 1 species
CAGGAAGUUCCCUCUUUUCCCCUCCGAUCCUGCUCCAGUGGCACAAUGUGAUCCACCAGCAAGGAGGUACACCAAUAAGGCAUCCGAUAAGAUAAGUCUUAUAAAAUAUAUAGAUUUAUGAUAAUUAAGACUGAGCUAGCAGAUGAGAAGUCCUAGUCAUUGGCCAAGAAGCUUUGUACCUAAUACAAGUUUCUGUGUAUUCAUUUGGGCCUAACUCGGUCAGGUGGCUGGCCUAAAGCGUACACAUGGCGGUGGGGCUCAGCGGCUUUUGGCGGAAAGAUUUAUCAUUUUCCUUUGAUUUUUUUCUGUUAUUUUGUUCUUGCUCUUUGCUGAGUUUUAAAAAAUGUAGUUAUUAUAUAUAACCAAAGAUAACUGUAAAUAUAUUUUACAUGGUCUAUGGCUUUACUGAGUCUUUCUGUGUCUCUCUGCCUCUCUCAACUGAUGUAUGUCUAUUUGUAUGUGUGCACUGAAUAAUUUUUAUGAUAUUUACUUGUCCAACAAUUCUAGGAUUACUAUUGUCCUAAAGUUGGUGUCUAUUGUGUUUUGAGUUGAUUCAUAUUUUUGUAUCAAAAUAUGAGCAUUUUCAUUAACUUGUGAGGUUAUGGAUUUUAUUAAUUUUCCUUUAGCUGGCUUCUUCUGCUAUCCCUUCAGCAAUGGCAGUGGGGCCCCACUUUAUUAGUGCCAAGUGAUGGUAGAAGUCUAAAUUCUCUAGUUUUCAUUCACAGAUACCAAAUGGUACAGAAGCUUAUAACUGCUGGGCAUGGCUGGCAGUUCUGGUUCUCUGGCUGUCCCUGCAGAUACAAUUCUUGUCACCACUCCCCAUCUGGUCUCCAUUGAUACCAUCUGGUUUCCACUGAAUUCUGGGAGGUGAUCAAAGCCCUCCCUUCUCUUUAGUCUUAUAUGUCAUCAGCCCAAAGUGAUGGAAGGAGGACCCUUGGUAAUUCUAGGUAGGAAUGGAGUUCAGGAUCCUCACUUGAUCCAGGAACACCAUGGGAGAUGCUGCUGCUGACAUGACUGCCAAGCCUUGGGAGAAGCCCUGGUCCCUGCAGCAUGAUCUGCUCUAUCCCAGGGGGAAGCACUGAAUACCUUCAUACAGACUAUUGGGGUGGCGUUCCAAUCUUCCCACACAGCCUUUUCAGACCUUGAGAUGAACAGAACAUGGAAUGACCCACCACAGGAUUAACUAUGACCAAGCAACAGUGAUGGCCAUCUUAGAGAACAGCUAACAUAUGACACCACUUCAAAAGCAGAAACAUUGCUUAGGAAACAAGCAGCAGAUGGAGGGCCUUGGUGUUCACAGAAGUGGUGUCAUGCUGAUUCCAAAAGAAAGGUGGCAUAGGAGAUACAGUCUCACAGAGACAUGUUCUUUCACUAUCUUGCUGGUAUUUUCCUCCACCAAGUACAAUCCACCUGUCUACUUCCAAGAAGGACCUUAUCUUUUUAUGAGAGAACCAGUUCUCCUCUUCUAGCUUUAUCACAUGCCAUGUCCUCUUCUAGUGCAAGCACUUCUGUGGAAUUGACUCAAUGGGUUUUAACAUCUGAGAAUGAAGUCCCUCAUCUGACAGUCAAUGCUAUCCAGGCUGAAGUCUCAAAUCCUCAUAACUUUGAACACAGAAUAAAAUGAGUGUGCUCUAAAAUAAGUGUGAGGAGUCCUUCAUCUGAUAAUGCAGCUUCUUUGGCAUAUUUGACAUAGUUAUUCCUUCAAACAUUCUUCUUGGGACUGUUUAGAAUUAAUAUCAUGGAAAUACGAAGUAGGAGGUUCCUUUCAGUAUUUCACCCAUCUCACAGGGUUGAAAUUAAACUGUGGGUUUGACCAAGGUCGUUGGCAGUGCACAAAUGAACAGAACCACACUCUUUAGAGUCAGAACAUUUUAUUUAUGUAACCUCUAGUGAUGAAGGACACUUUUGUCAAUCUGUUUCAUUAAGACUAGGCCUGUUUAUCUUUAAACAUAUUUUCCUUAGUGCCUUGGUCUUCCUGUGCCAAUCGGUGUUCACUGAGUAUAAUGAAGGACACUUAACAAAGGAAAAUUAUUCAUCUAUUCAAAUGUGGCCUGUGUAUCCUCAUGUGUGUUCUUUUGUUUGCAUCAUUCUUUCUCUAGAAUGCUUGGUCCAUUAUUCACUUAUUUUUCCAAUGCAAACGUAUUAAGAAUAGACUCUGUUACUGGCUUCGCUGUAUCCAAAUUCAAUAACUUUUUUAAGAGACUGAAAACUCAUUACUAGAAUCCUAGAAUCUGGGAGGCAGAGGCAUGAGAAUUAGAAAGUUGAGCCCUGCCUGGGCUACAUAGUGAGUUCAGUCCUGCUGAGUGACAUUAUGUGAUCCAGUCUUAACUAAAAACAAGAGCGACAGCUGUGUUUCACUGGUAGAACACUUGCUUUGCAUCAUGAGGUCAUUGGUUAGAUUCCAAAAGGCCAGUAAAAUGGUUACCUCUUCUGUAAGUUUAAUCUUUCCUGCUUAACUGGAAUUAAAAUUUCCAUUUUGGCCACAUGGAGGUGACACAUGCUUAAAUCCCAGCACCCAGGAGGCAGAAGCAGGCAGACCUCUGAGUUUGAGUCCAGUCUGGUCUUCAGAGCUAGUUCCAGGACAACCAGAGCUUAAGAACCCUGUCUCAAAAACAAAACAAAACAAAACAAAACAAUACAAAAAUUUCCUCCUUUGUUGUCCAGGUGAUAGUUAGUCUCUUUAUACAGUUGUGUGGUUGUGCCUGCAAUAUAAAAAUACUCUCAAAUAUGAUUUUGUUGGAAUUUUCAUUCUCUCCUUUUCAUUCCAAUGUAGUUCAGAGGUUACAUCAACAAAAUAAGCCUGCUCAAGAUCUAAGCACAGCUUCUCUUGUCUUGCAGCACAUAGACACAACUCUCAUUUAUUUACCACUAUCUUGCAAAUCUUUCCCAUUCUGUAGUCCAUAGGAGAUGUGGAAUACACCAUGUUCUUUUAAUAUCUCUUUCUUCCUUCCUUCCUUCCUUCCUUCCUUCCUUCCUUCCUUCCUUCCUUCCUUCCUUCCUUCCUUCCUUCUCUCUCUCUCUCUCUCUCUCUCUCUCUCUCUCUCUCUCUCUCUCUUUCUUUCUUUCUCUCUUUCUUUUUUUGUUUUCCCAAGACAGGGUUUUUCUAUGCACCUUUGGAGCCUGUCCUGGAACUAGCUCUUGUAAACCAGACUGUUCUCAAACUCACAGACAUCUUCCUGCUUCUGCCUCUGAAGUGCUGGGAUUAAAGGUAUGCACCACUACCACCCAGCUGAAAUACACCAUUUUCUAAUGAAUGUGUAUGAAUGGAUCUUUCAUGAAUUUGGGUUAUAGAAUAUGCCAAUAUGAUAUAGGAAUAGCAAAAUGAAGAGAACCCACAGGAUUUUCAUAGUACAAGAAGAGGUAUAAGAGACUGGUUAUUAUUGACAUUGUUAGACCCCCUGAAAACUCAAGUAUUCGGGGUCCCAGGCCACAUUCGCGGUCACCCCAAUCACCAGGCGGAUUCGAGAGCUUGCUGCAAACUGCUCGAGGCUUUAUUGUAAUUUAACGAGCUAACCCCAUGUUAGCUCGGGUCUUUCAUCCAACCGCCAUGGCGGAUAGCUAGAAAGACGGUUUGAAGCCGCUGUGUACAGAUCUUUAUAGGGCAGCAUAAGGGGAGUGUCUAGGGGUACGCACAGGCUCACGAUUGGUGUGCCUCCAGGCUUGGAGGGCUUGCCCUGUGUUGAUUGG